GAAGGUGUGCUGUGAGGCAUGCUGGAGGUAUCAGAAGUGCGAAUGCUGACAUAAGUAACGAUAAAGCGGGUGAAAAGCCCGCUCGCCGGAAGACCAAGGGUUCCUGUCCAACGUUAAUCGGGGCAGGGUGAGUCGACCCCUAAGGCGAGGCCGAAAGGCGUAGUCGAUGGGAAACAGGUUAAUAUUCCUGUACUUGGUGUUACUGCGAAGGGGGGACGGAGAAGGCUAUGUUGGCCGGGCGACGGUUGUCCCGGUUUAAGCGUGUAGGCUGGUUUUCCAGGCAAAUCCGGAAAAUCAAGGCUGAGGCGUGAUGACGAGGCACUACGGUGCUGAAGCAACAAAUGCCCUGCUUCCAGGAAAAGCCUCUAAGCAUCAGGUAACAUCAAAUCGUACCCCAAACCGACACAGGUGGUCAGGUAGAGAAUACCAAGGCGCUUGAGAGAACUCGGGUGAAGGAACUAGGCAAAAUGGUGCCGUAACUUCGGGAGAAGGCACGCUGAUAUGUAGGUGAAGUCCCUCGCGGAUGGAGCUGAAAUCAGUCGAAGAUACCAGCUGGCUGCAACUGUUUAUUAAAAACACAGCACUGUGCAAACACGAAAGUGGACGUAUACGGUGUGACGCCUGCCCGGUGCCGGAAGGUUAAUUGAUGGGGUCAGCGCAAGCGAAGCUCUUGAUCGAAGCCCCGGUAAACGGCGGCCGUAACUAUAACGGUCCUAAGGUAGCGAAAUUCCUUGUCGGGUAAGUUCCGACCUGCACGAAUGGCGUAAUGAUGGCCAGGCUGUCUCCACCCGAGACUCAGUGAAAUUGAACUCGCUGUGAAGAUGCAGUGUACCCGCGGCAAGACGGAAAGACCCCGUGAACCUUUACUAUAGCUUGACACUGAACAUUGAGCCUUGAUGUGUAGGAUAGGUGGGAGGCUUUGAAGUGUGGACGCCAGUCUGCAUGGAGCCGGCCUUGAAAUACCACCCUUUAAUGUUUGAUGUUCUAACGUUGACCCGUGAUCCGGGUUGCGGACAGUGUCUGGUGGGUAGUUUGACUGGGGCGGUCUCCUCCUAAAGAGUAACGGAGGAGCACGAAGGUUGGCUAAUCCUGGUCGGACAUCAGGAGGUUAGUGCAAUGGCAUAAGCCAGCUUGACUGCGAGCGUGACGGCGCGAGCAGGUGCGAAAGCAGGUCAUAGUGAUCCGGUGGUUCUGAAUGGAAGGGCCAUCGCUCAACGGAUAAAAGGUACUCCGGGGAUAACAGGCUGAUACCGCCCAAGAGUUCAUAUCGACGGCGGUGUUUGGCACCUCGAUGUCGGCUCAUCACAUCCUGGGGCUGAAGUAGGUCCCAAGGGUAUGGCUGUUCGCCAUUUAAAGUGGUACGCGAGCUGGGUUUAGAACGUCGUGAGACAGUUCGGUCCCUAUCUGCCGUGGGCGCUGGAGAACUGAGGGGGGCUGCUCCUAGUACGAGAGGACCGGAGUGGACGCAUCACUGGUGUUCGGGUUGUCAUGCCAAUGGCACUGCCCGGUAGCUAAAUGCGGAAGAGAUAAGUGCUGAAAGCAUCUAAGCACGAAACUUGCCCCGAGAUGAGUUCUCCCUGACUCCUUGAGAGUCCUGAAGGAACGUUGAAGACGACGACGUUGAUAGGCCGGGUGUGUAAGCGCAGCGAUGCGUUGAGCUAACCGGUACUAAUGAACCGUGAGG
rnacentral:rRNA from 1 species